rnacentral:lncRNA from 1 species
UGAAGGUUCAAUACAUUAUCCGUCAUUAUGAAGCUAAUCAAUUUAGUCUGUUAGCGCAUCAUUUAAGAAAGACCUCUGCAUCAUGGCAUUGUGAGUUUUUGGAGCAUACAGUGAUAGAAUCAGUUUUAUUUUUAGUUCCACUCUAUGCUAACAUUUAGCAAAUCGGAUGGAUUAUGUUGAACAUUUAUAGGUAUUGGUACACUGCCUUAUGUCAAAUCCUUGUUUUCUCAGUUCAUAUGAAUUCGACAUGUAAAUGAUAUUUUCUUCUUUUUGAUGGCUUAGUCGAGGUUUUGAAUGAUGGGAUAAGUUUGAAUUACAUGAGGCAGGUAUCUCUAGAGAUUGCUUCAUAGUAACAGUG